GACGAACGCUGGCGGCGUGCCUAAUACAUGCAAGUAGAACGCAGUUGCGAACGGGUGAGUAACGCGUAGGUAACCUGCCUCAGAGCGGGGGAUAAGUAUUGGAAACGAUAGCUAAUACCGCAUACUGUGAGAUGGACCUGCGUUGUAUUAGCUGGUUGGUGAGGUAAAGGCUCACCAAGGCGACGAUACAUAGCCGAACUGAGAGGAUGGUUGGCGGCACUAGGACUGAGACACGGCCCAGACUCCUACGGGAGGCAGCAGUCGGGAAUCUUAGGCAAUGGACGGAAGUCUGACCCAGCAAUGCCGCGUGAGUGAAGAAGGUUUUCGGAUCGUAAAGCUCUGUUGUUAGAGAAGCGGUAGCUAAACAGGAAGCAACGGCUAACUACGUGCCAGCAGCCGCGGUAAUUC
rnacentral:rRNA from 1 species